rnacentral:sRNA from 17 species
AGAUCUCUCUGUUCGGCUUCUUUUCGGCGAGCAGCGGCAAUGUCGGCAGGAUAAGUGAACUGCACGCUGUAGUAGAGGUCAGACUGCUCUU